CUUAAAUUGAAGAGUUUGAUCAUGGCUCAGAUUGAACGCUGGCGGCAGGCCUAACACAUGCAAGUCGAGCGGUAACAGGAAGAAAGCUUGCUUUCUUUGCUGACGAGCGGCGGACGGGUGAGUAAUGCCUGGGAAUAUGCCUUAACGUGGGGGAUAACUAUUGGAAACGAUAGCUAAUACCGCAUGAUGCCUACGGGCCAAAGAGGGGGACCUUCGGGCCUCUCGCGUUAAGAUUAGCCCAGGUGGGAUUAGCUAGUUGGUGAGGUAAUGGCUCACCAAGGCGACGAUCCCUAGCUGGUCUGAGAGGAUGAUCAGCCACACUGGAACUGAGACACGGUCCAGACUCCUACGGGAGGCAGCAGUGGGGAAUAUUGCACAAUGGGCGCAAGCCUGAUGCAGCCAUGCCGCGUGUAUGA
rnacentral:rRNA from 1 species